rnacentral:rRNA from 1 species
UAGUCAUAUGCUUGUCUUAAAGAUUAAGCCAUGCAAGUCUAAGGAUAAAUAAUUUAUUCGUAAACCUGCAGAUAGCUCAUUAAAUCAGUUAUAAUCUACUCGAUUGUAUCCUCUAUUUGGAUAACCGUAGUAAUUCCAGGGCUAAUACAUGAAAACAAACAGAACUGGGGAAACUCGGAACUGUUGGAACUAUUGUACCUAAAUCAAUACAAGGCAUUCCAAACUGUAUUUUAUUUCACGAUUUGAUACAGGCUUUGUAAAAUGUGACGAGACGCGAUAAAUUUCCAAAUCACGAAUUUAAAUUUGUGAUGAUUUGAAAGAAUUUCUGCCCUAUCAACUUUCGAUGGUAAGAUAUUUGCUUACCAUGGUGAUGACGGGUACGGGGAAUUUGGGUUUGAUUCCGGAGAAAAGGCCUGAGAGACGGCCAUUACUUCCAAGGAAGGCAGCAGGCGCGUAAUUUACCCAAUGUCAAUUCGACGAGGUAGUGACGAGAAAUACCGAUAUUGGUCCUACGAAAACAAUUAUGGAAUGGAGMAYAAUUUAAAAAACUUAGCGACUAACUAUU